rnacentral:rRNA from 1 species
AUGAAGGUCCAAAAACCAGCGAGAGGUUCCCCACUCUUCUUUGAUCCGUCUGAGGGCCGAGUGGCAGCCUCGACCCGAGCGGAAGUGCGAUGUGUCUAGAAACUCGGGAUCGUAAAUGGAUUCAGGUACCUGGUGCAACAACAAGUACUAGCUUAA